AGAGUUUGAUCAUGGCUCAGAGCGAACGCUGGCGGCAGGCCUAACACAUGCAAGUCGAACGGAUCCUUCGGGAUUAGUGGCGGACGGGUGAGUAACACGUGGGAACGUGCCUUUGGUUCGGAACAACUCAGGGAAACUUGAGCUAAUACCGAAUGUGCCCUUCGGGGGAAAGAUUUAUCGCCAUUAGAGCGGCCCGCGUCUGAUUAGCUAGUUGGUGAGGUAAAGGCUCACCAAGGCUACGAUCAGUAGCUGGUCUGAGAGGAUGAUCAGCCACAUUGGGACUGAGACACGGCCCAAACUCCUACGGGAGGCAGCAGUGGGGAAUCUUGCGCAAUGGGCGAAAGCCUGACGCAGCCAUGCCGCGUGAAUGAUGAAGGUCUUAGGAUUGUAAAAUUCUUUCACCGGGGACGAUAAUGACGGCACCCGGAGAAGAAGCCCCGGCUAGCUUCGUG
rnacentral:rRNA from 1 species